UGGGGAAUAUUGGACAAUGGGCGCAAGCCUGAUCCAGCCAUGCCGCGUGAGUGAUGAAUGCCCUAGGGUUGUAAAGCUCUUUCACCGGUGAAGAUAAUGACGGUAACCGGAGAAGAAGCCCCGGCUAACUUCGUGCCAGCAGCCGCGGUAAUACGAAGGGGGCUAGCGUUGUUCGGAUUUACUGGGCGUAAAGCGCACGUAGGCGGACUAUUAAGUCAGGGGUGAAAUCCCGGGGCUCAACCCCGGAACUGCCUUUGAUACUGGUAGUCUUGAGUUCGAGAGAGGUGAGUGGAAUUCCGGGUGUAGAGGUGAAAUUCGAAGAUAUUCGGAGGAACACCAGUGGCGAAGGCGGCUCACUGGCUAGAUACUGACGCUGAGGUGCGAAAGCGUGGGGAGCAAACAGG
rnacentral:rRNA from 1 species